AGCGAACGCUGGCGGCAGGCUUAACACAUGCAAGUCGAGCGGGCGUAGCAAUACGUCAGCGGCAGACGGGUGAGUAACGCGUGGGAACGUACCUUUUGGUUCGGAACAACACAGGGAAACUUGUGCUAAUACCGGAUAAGCCCUUACGGGGAAAGAUUUAUCGCCGAAAGAUCGGCCCGCGUCUGAUUAGCUAGUUGGUGAGGUAAUGGCUCACCAAGGCGACGAUCAGUAGCUGGUCUGAGAGGAUGAUCAGCCACAUUGGGACUGAGACACGGCCCAAACUCCUACGGGAGGCAGCAGUGGGGAAUAUUGGACAAUGGGCGCAAGCCUGAUCCAGCCAUGCCGCGUGAGUGAUGAAGGCCCUAGGGUUGUAAAGCUCUUUUGUGCGGGAAGAUAAUGACGGUACCGCAAGAAUAAGCCCCGGCUAACUUCGUGCCAGCAGCCGCGGUAAUACGAAGGGGGCUAGCGUUGCUCGGAAUCACUGGGCGUAAAGGGUGCGUAGGCGGGUCUUUAAGUCAGGGGUGAAAUCCUGGAGCUCAACUCCAGAACUGCCUUUGAUACUGAAGAUCUUGAGUUCGGGAGAGGUGAGUGGAACUGCGAGUGUAGAGGUGAAAUUCGUAGAUAUUCGCAAGAACACCAGUGGCGAAGGCGGCUCACU
rnacentral:rRNA from 1 species